CAGCGAGAGAACGUUGCGUCAGCAACGGCCCGCAGGGCGAGCCACGCAGUGGCGAGUCAUCCUCUAUCACCGACCA
rnacentral:sRNA from 1 species